GACGAACGCUGGCGGCGUGCUUAACACAUGCAAGUCGAACGGUGAAAGCGGAGCUUGCUCUGCUGGAUCAGUGGCGAACGGGUGAGUAACACGUGGGCAACCUGCCCCUCACUUCGGGAUAACUCCGGGAAACCGGGGCUAAUACCGGAUAUGACCUCCUUGGGCAUCCUUGGAGGUGGAAAGUUCUUCGGUGAGGGAUGGGCCCGCGGCCUAUCAGCUUGUUGGUGAGGUAGUGGCUCACCAAGGCGACGACGGGUAGCCGGCCUGAGAGGGCGACCGGCCACACUGGGACUGAGACACGGCCCAGACUCCUACGGGAGGCAGCAGUGGGGAAUAUUGCGCAAUGGGCGAAAGCCUGACGCAGCAACGCCGCGUGCGGGAUGACGGCCUUCGGGUUGUAAACCGCUUUCAGCAGGGAAGAAGCCGCAAGGUGACGGUACCUGCAGAAGAAGCACCGGCUAACUACGUGCCAGCAGCCGCCGUAA
rnacentral:rRNA from 1 species